rnacentral:rRNA from 1 species
AGUGAACGCUGGCGGUAGGCCUAACACAUGCAAGUCGAACGGCAGCACAGUAAGAGCUUGCUCUUACGGGUGGCGAGUGGCGGACGGGUGAGGAAUACAUCGGAAUCUACUUUUUCGUGGGGGAUAACGUAGGGAAACUUACGCUAAUACCGCAUACGACCUACGGGUGAAAGCAGGGGAUCUUCGGACCUUGCGCGAUUGAAUGAGCCGAUGUCGGAUUAGCUAGUUGGCGGGGUAAAGGCCCACCAAGGCGACGAUCCGUAGCUGGUCUGAGAGGAUGAUCAGCGACAUUGGAACUGAGACACGGUCAAGACUCCUACGGGAGGCAGCAGUGGGGAAUAUUGGACAAUGGGCGCAAGCCUGAUCCAGCCAUACCGCGUGGGUGAAGAAGGCCUUCGGGUUGUAAAGCCCUUUUGUUGGGAAAGAAAAGCAGCAGGUUAAUACCCCGCUGUUCUGACGGUACCCAAAGAAUAAGCACCGGCUAACUUCGUG